GACGAACCGUGCGAACGUUAUUCGGAAUCACUGGGCUUAAAGCGCGUGUAGGCGGAACGGCACGUCGGUCGCUGAAAUCCCCCGGCUCAACCGGGGAACGGGCGCCGAUACGACCGUUCUCGAGGGACGUAGGGGGACCUGGAACUUCCGGUGGAGCGGUGAAAUGCGUUGAGAUCGGAAGGAACGCCCGUGGCGAAAGCGAGGUCCUGGACGUCUGCUGACGCUGAUGCUCGAAAGCUAGGGGAGCAAACAGG
rnacentral:rRNA from 1 species